rnacentral:tRNA from 1 species
GCGGGAGUGGUGAAAUGGCAGACACGCAGGAUUUAGGUUCCUGUGCCGAAAGGCAUGAGGGUUCGAGUCCCUCCUUCCGCA